CCUUCCACACACACACGAUCCCCCAGCCCGAUUCCAACCCACCACGGCCACCUCUCUCCCCCCACGGCCACCUCAAUCCCAUCCCGGUUCCGCCCACCAAGAUCAACCCGUGGAGGCGACCUCCCACCGUCGCCACGGCCCUACCCAGCGUUGGCCCAUCCCGGAUCCACUCCGCUUCAUCCCCGCUACCUUCCCCUAGUGUCAAGGUAGCCAAGAUGUGUGGUGCCCCGGCGACCUCUUGCCCCGAGACGACCAGCGCGCCGCCCCCUACAACCAUCUCCACGCGACACUAGAGCUCCUCUCCACCUCGUGCAUCCGCGCGCGCGGAUCCCCUGCUACCCACGACGGCCUUCUCGCCAUGCCCCGCCUGCUUCAGAUCCAUAGCCAGCCCGGCUCCUGUCCGGCCCCCCUGCUCCGGCGAGCUAUCCUCCCCCUUGCUCUUGAGCCAUGCAAUCCACUUUCACAGCCAAGGGACUUAGCCAUCCCAGGGGCGUCAGGGGCAGCUGGCUUCAAAAAUUGGAGGGGGUUCGGUUAUCUGGGGGGUCCGCGACGAGGGAUCCGAGGCAUCCACCGUGCCGCCAGCCCCGUGCAGCUCGGUUGCCACCCAUGUGCAGCUCGGUCCUCCGCGCACCACCAAUCCCCGCCCACUGUACCUCAUCUUGGUUCAUUGCCUCGCCACCACGUCGGGCUUCCUAGCGGCCUAACCCGCCUUUCCCGGUUAGCCCCGGCGACCACGAGCUCUCCCGGAGCCCCUGUGUCCGGUUGCCGUUGAAGUGACUACAGUAGGAAGCCGCCAGCGAUGGAGCAGAUCCAGGGUCAACGAGCACCGCUGGAUCCAUCUCAGCCGCUCGCUGGCACAGGCAAAUUUUGCAAAUUAUGUUCGGUACCCGUAUUUGCGUUCACUUCGUGCUAUUUCUGCAGUUUAUUUUGUCUCUAUGGUGGCCGGUGUUGAUGCAGUGCACUCUGCGAUACAACGGUGCUUGAUUUUGGAACAAAUGUUCAAUGCGUGCGGUGCAAAAAAAACAAGACAAUUCUUUUGCGGCCGAGCAGUGCAGCUUGCUAUUCGUUGCAGCUCAGUUGGGGCGUCCAUGCAGUGCGCAAGCACUUGAGGAUGAUUGGCAUGCACUUCGGUUUCGGUAGUGCGAAGCUGUUGUAUGGAUGCGUGCUGUAGGAGGUUCUCCAGUUAGAUUACUGCAUUUUACUUGGUGUGGACAGGAGGUUCUCUAGCUGGCCCAUGCAGCGAGCAGUGCAGGUUGCUCUUCGUUGCAGGUCGGUUGGACCAUUGGUGCAGUACCCAAAUAGCUAGUGUUUUCGCUACUGCUUGUACACAUCACAGGUGGUUCACCGGAGCACCCCCUCGCAGCUCUCUCCUUCCCCAACAUGCAGUUCAUCGGCGACGGCCUUCAGUUUGUUUUGGUUGCUCUCGAUGCCAUCCCUACUGAAGUACAAUGUGCCUCAUGAUGGUUUUGUGUGUAUGUCUGUGUUUUGCGUGGUAGCCGGCUUGGGGCCUAUGUUCCUGUACAAUGUAAAAAUAGUAUGAAAAUGAAGUGCACUUCUGUUGUA